CGUCACUGAAUGCAUUAAUUUUGUCUGUGCUAGAGUUGCUUUAAAAAAAAUUAAUUAAUGUUGGUUGAUCUUUUUUCCUUCCUUCUUUCGGCAGAGGUUAAAAUUUGAAAUAGCAGAGGUUAUGACAGAAAUUAAUAACUUGACAAGUGUGGAAGAAAGCAAAACUACCCAGAGAAAUAAGCAAAUAGCAAUGGGAAGGAAGAAAUUCAAUAUGGACCCGAAGAAGGGAAUCCAGUUCCUGAUAGAAAAUGACCUUCUGCAGAACACUCCAGAGGACAUUGCACAGUUCCUUUAUAAAGGGGAAGGACUAAAUAAAACUGUAAUUGGAGAUUACCUUGGUGAAAGAGAUGAAUUUAAUAUUAAAGUUCUUCAGGCUUUUGUUGAACUCCAUGAGUUCGCUGAUCUCAAUCUUGUACAAGCCUUAAGGCAAUUCCUGUGGAGUUUCAGACUUCCAGGAGAGGCUCAAAAAAUUGAUCGUAUGAUGGAGGCUUUUGCUUCACGCUAUUGCCUUUGUAAUCCUGGAGUCUUCCAGUCUACAGAUACAUGCUAUGUGCUAUCAUUUGCUAUCAUUAUGUUAAAUACCAGUCUACACAACCAUAACGUAAGAGAUAAACCAACAGUGGAAAGGUUUAUAUCUAUGAAUCGUGGCAUUAAUGAAGGAGGAGACCUUCCAGAAGAAUUGCUACGGAAUUUGUAUGAAAGUAUUAAAAAUGAGCCAUUUAAAAUUCCAGAGGAUGAUGGGAAUGACCUGACGCACACAUUUUUCAAUCCAGAUAGAGAAGGUUGGCUGUUGAAAUUAGGAGGGGGAAGAGUGAAAACAUGGAAACGGAGAUGGUUUAUUCUGACUGAUAAUUGCCUGUAUUAUUUUGAAUACACAACAGACAAAGAACCUAGAGGAAUUAUUCCUUUGGAAAACCUUAGCAUAAGAGAAGUUGAAGAUCCUAGGAAACCAAAUUGCUUUGAGCUUUAUAACCCUAGCCACAAAGGUCAAGUAAUUAAAGCCUGUAAAACGGAAGCUGAUGGGAGAGUAGUAGAAGGCAACCACGUUGUGUACAGGAUAUCUGCUCCCACCCCAGAAGAGAAAGAAGAAUGGAUCAAAUCUAUUAAAGCAAGCAUCAGCAGGGAUCCCUUUUAUGAUAUGCUAGCAACAAGGAAAAGAAGAAUUGCUAAUAAAAAAUAACACAGACAAGAGCCACUUAUGGACCUGCAUUUGUCAUUCUAUAAAUGGAUAUAAAACCGUGUGAUAAGUUCCCUUCUUAAUGAUUGCCAUCUAUUUAUUGACUGUUUUGGUCACCACUGCACAUUGAGCUGAUGUUUUUAGAGAACUGUCUACAAUGACUCCAAGGACUCUUUCCUGAGUUGUAACAGCUAAUUCAGAAACCAACAUUGUGUACAUAAAACAGGUUAUUUUUUCCCCACGUGCAUGAUCUUGCACUUGUUGACAUUAAAGUUCAUUUGCCAUUUUUUGCCUUAGCUUGGUGAAAUCUUUCUUCAUCUUAAGUUUUGACUAGCUGGAAUAAUUUGGUAUCAUCUGCAAACUUGGAGAUUUCACUGUGUACCCUUGUUAGCAUAGGGAAUCAUUCUGCAGAGGUAGGAACAUUGCCUAAUGAAUCUUUCCCUCUCUCUGAUUUUGAUUAAAGACAAGGUAAGUCUGCAUCAAGUCUUCCAUCGUAUUAACUUACCUUAGUCUAUAUUGGAUCUGAGAUCAGCAUGUGUGGAGUGUAUGCACAUUUCCUUUUCCAUACUGGCUGAGAGAAAGGAAUGGAGUUAAAACUGAACUGAAUUGACUUUCCCUUUUGUGAUUUUUCACAAUAAAAAAAGAAAAGAAAAAGAUGUGGAGCCCUUGAGGGGGAGAAAUAUGAUGAAGGUCUGUAAAAUUAUGAAUGGCUUGGAAAAAUGGAAAUGGUAUGAAAAAAUGGUGUCUUUUGAUCUAGGACAGGAGCUGGCACUUUUACCAAAGGCAGGGCUGGGUGAUUCAUUCCCCCUCCCCGCGACUUGACUCCUGCUGCCCAGUGUGCUGCCAACAGGUGUAACUGGUAAGUUUUGCAUCCUGGGCAGCAUGGAGGCUGGCAACCCAGUGGUCCCUAUACCCUUUUUGAUCUCAUGUGCCACCCUACCCCUUUGGGAGAUGCACUUGCUGCAGGGGUAGAUGUUGGCACACCCAGCAGCCAGGGGGUUAACGCAGAAUC